rnacentral:rRNA from 1 species
CGCGUAGGCGGCUUGCCAAGUCAGGGGUGAAAUCCAGCAGCUUAACUGUUGAAGUGCCUUUGAUACUGGCGAGCUCGAGGGAGGUAGGGGUAUGCGGAACUUCUGGUGGAGCGGUGAAAUGCGUUGAUAUCAGAAGGAACGCCGGUGGCGAAAGCGGCGUACUGGACCUCUUCUGACGCUGAGGCGCGAAAGCUAGGGAGCAAACG